AACAGGUAGCGAAGUGGGCACCUGUUGCUGAGCAAGUCGCUGGUGCCUUGGGCAGAGAUGUGAAAAACGUAGAAUAGCUAAUAAAUGAUACUAAAAAAAUUAGAAAUAAAGCAACAAUAAACUCCAUAAAGCUGCUUAUAACAAAAUGUAUCCCUUGUUUAUAAAGACUUUAACAUUAGUUAUGGUAAAGAUCUCAGCCAUAGCUUGUAGGGAAAAUGUAAUAUUAUGAUAUUUCACAUAUACAAUGUAAUGUAGUUAGUUGUCUAUAAUAUGGGAAUAAAGUUCAUUCUAGAAUACACAAAUUAAAA